GUCAAGUGACUAAGCGCACACGGUGGAUGCCUUGGCAGUCAGAGGCGAUGAAGGACGUGGUAAUCUGCGAAAAGUCCGGGGAAGCUGAUAAGCAAGCAUUGAUCCCGGAAUCUCCGAAUGGGGCAACCCACCUGUCAUAAGGCAGGUAUCUCUUAGCUGAAUACAUAGGCUUCGAGAGGCGAACCAGGGGAACUGAAACAUCUAAGUACCCCGAGGAAAAGAAAUCAACCGAGAUUCCCCCAGUAGCGGCGAGCGAACGGGGAUUAGCCCUUAAGCAUCUUGGGUUUUAGUGGAAGGCUCUGGAAAGUGCCGCCAUAGUGGGUGAUAGCCCCGUACACGAAAGAACCCUUGAUGUGAAAACGAGUAAGGCGGGACACGUGUUAUCCUGUUUGAAGAUGGGGGGACCAUCCUCCAAGGCUAAAUACUACUGACUGACCGAUAGUGAACCAGUACCGUGAGGGAAAGGCGAAAAGAACCCCGUUGAGGGGAGUGAAAUAGACCCUGAAACCGUGUGCGUACAAGCAGUGGGAGCACCUUCGUGGUGUGACUGCGUACCUUUUGUAUAAUGGGUCAGCGACUUAAUUUCAGUAGCAAGCUUAACCGAGUAGGGUAGGCGUAGGGAAACCGAGUCUUAAUAGGGCUACAAGUUGCUGGGAUUAGACCCGAAACCGGGCGAUCUAUCCAUGGGCAGGUUGAAGGUUGGGUAACACCAACUGGAGGACCGAACCGACUACCGUUGAAAAGUUAGCGGAUGACCUGUGGAUCGGAGUGAAAGGCUAAUCAAGCCCGGAGAUAGCUGGUUCUCCCCGAAAGCUAUUUAGGUAGCGCCUCAUAUAUUACCCACGGGGGUAGAGCACUGUGUCGGCUAGGGGGUCAUCCCGACUUACCAACCCGAUGCAAACUCCGAAUACCGUGGAGUACAGUAUGGGAGACAGACGGCGGGUGCUAACGUCCGUCGUCAAGAGGGAAACAACCCAGACCGCCAGCUAAGGUCCCUAAACAUGAUUAAGUGGGAAACGAUGUGGGAAGGCUAAAACAGCUAGGAGGUUGGCUUAGAAGCAGCCACCCUUUAAAGAAAGCGUAAUAGCUCACUAGUCGAGUCGGCCCGCGCGGAAGAUGUAACGGGGCUCAAAUCAUGUACCGAAGCUGCGGAUUCAACACUUUGUGUUGAGUGGUAGGGGAGCGUUCUGUAAGCCUGUGAAGGUGCGUUGUAAAGCGCGCUGGAGGUAUCAGAAGUGCGAAUGCUGACAUGAGUAACGACAAAGGGGGUGAGAAGCCCCCUCGCCGGAAGACCAAGGGUUUCUGCACAACGCUAAUCGGUGCAGAGUGAGUCGGCCCCUAAGGUGAGAGCGAAAGCUGUAAUCGAUGGGAAACGGAUUAAUAUUUCCGUACCUCUCGUGACUGCGAUGGAAUGACGGAGAAGGCUAGGCCAGCAGGGCGAUGGUUGUCCCUGUUUAAGGUGGUAGGCUGGGAGAACAGGCAAAUCCGUUCUCCCAAGGCCGAGAGCUGAUGACGAGUCCUCUUUUGGACGAAGUGGUUGAUGCCAGGCUUCCAGGAAAAAUUUCUAAGCUUCAGGUCACAAGAGACCGUACCCCAAACCGACACAGGUGGUCAGGUAGAGAAUACCAAGGCGCUUGAGAGAACUCGGGUGAAGGAACUAGGCAAAAUGGUACCGUAACUUCGGGAGAAGGUACGCCGGUUUUGGUGAAGGGCUUGCCCCGUAAGCUGAGACCGGCCGAAGAAACCAGGUGGCUGCAACUGUUUAUUAAAAACAUAGCACUGUGCCAACACGAAAGUGGACGUAUACGGUGUGACGCCUGCCCGGUGCCGGAAGGUUAAUU
rnacentral:rRNA from 1 species